rnacentral:lncRNA from 1 species
GAUUUCCUAGUUCAUAUUAGAAUUAACUGAACUGUUACUGAUUGUUCUGUUUAACUGAACUGAACAUGGACUGAGUUUAUUGAGUUUCAAUGACUAGCAGAACACUACUGAAUUCUGUUAACUGACUAAAUGCUACUGAGUUCUGUUAGCUGACUGAAGUCUACUGAACAUGGCUUGACUGAGAGUAUCAUGAAAACAUGACAUGGCUCUAGGCGCACAGCUAUAUUUUUUGGGUACGAAUACCCCCAGGACUC